rnacentral:rRNA from 1 species
CGUUGUCCGGAUUAUUGGGCGUAAAGAGCUUGUAGGCGGUUGGUCGCGUCUGCUGUGAAAGGCUGGGGCUUAACCCUGGUUUUGCAGUGGGUACGGGCUAACUAGAGUGCAGUAGGGGAGACUGGAAUUCCUGGUGUAGCGGUGGAAUGCGCAGAUAUCAGGAGGAACACCGAUGGCGAAGGCAGGUCUCUGGGCUGUAACUGACGCUGAGAAGCGAAAGCAUGGGGAGCGAACAGGAUUAGAUACCCUGGUAGUCCAUGCCGUAAACGUUGAGCACUAGGUGUGGGGGACAUUCCACGUUUUCCGCGCCGUAGCUAACGCAUUAAGUGCCCCGCCUGGGGAGUACGGCCGCAAGGCUAAAACUCAAAGAAAUUGACGGGGGCCCGCACAAGCGGCGGAGCAUGCGGAUUAAUUCGAUGCAACGCGAAGAACCUUACCAAGGCUUGACAUAUACUGGACUGCGUCAGAGAUGGCGUUUCCCUUCGGGGCUGGUAUACAGGUGGUGCAUGGUUGUCGUCAGCUCGUGUCGUGAGAAG